rnacentral:rRNA from 1 species
ACACGAAGUCGGAAUUGCUAGUAAUCGCGGAUCAGCAUGCCGCGGUGAAUACGUUCCCGGGCCUUGUACACACCGCCCGUCACACCAUGGGAGUCGGUAACACCCGAAGCCUGUAGUCUAACCGCAAGGAGGACGCAGUCGAAGGUGGGAUUGAUGACUGGGGUGAAGUCGUAACAAGGUAUC